AGAGGCAGCACUUUGCGUGAGCCCAGCUUCGCCACUAUCAUUAGAGGAAAGUGACGACCGGUGACGGCACUUUUGCGGCGAAGUGACGUCUCAAAAACCUACGCAUCGUGGCUUCCCUCGUGUUGGCGUUUGCAUGCCAUUACAGUCCAGUGUAUAUAUAAAGCCAUCUCCAUUCGCAUCGUACCAAGCAACUCUUUGACUCGGACAGUGAAGCUCUACUCUUGAGGCAGGAGCAUACGGAUAAUCAUGAAGGCUGUGCUGUGCUUGCUGGUGAUUUGCCUCAUACUGGCCACUGCUGCCGCAAUCAAGGGCUUCGGCCACAAAGGCGGAUUUGGCGGAGGUGGAUUUGGCCACGGAGGAGGCUACGGACACGGGGAGGAUUUGGCCAUGGAGGAGGUUUCGGCCACUGGUGGCAAGUUUGGAAAGUUCCACGGAUAGUCACCAACCACUCAUCAUGCACUCGACACAAAUUCUUCAAACCCGCGCGAACCAGAGCGCCCGAAACGCCGGCAAACAAAGAACAGUACAAAGGCCUGAAAAUUUGUGGGAAUAAAAUUCCUUUACCUUGGUCUGU